GGAGCAACUAAAGGUCAUCUAAAAACUCUCCUAAUACCAAAAACGAAAAUUACAAUAAAAAUAAAGAAAAUUGGACUUAAUUGUUUUUUUAUUUAGUCCAAUAUUAUUAGACCACAAUUCAGUCCAAAGAUGCUUCUUAUCAUAUGAAUUGGCUUCAAGUUGGGCUCAAGCAUCUUCAUCCAAAUAUUUUUUAUGCAUUUUUUUAUAAGUUUCCUUCCACAUGUUUAGGGAACUCAUGAUCGUAUCAC
rnacentral:lncRNA from 1 species